GCCGCCGCCCCCGCCCUUGCGGGCUCCGGCCGGGAAGCCCCUGGUUGGGCGGCGGGCGGACGCUGGCCCAGGCGCCCGCUCCGCGCGCGGGGACGCGAGCUGCCCCGGAGGCCCGCUCUUCGGAGCAGGACCCGGGGCCUGCGCGGCGGCCUGAGGGGGGCAGGGCGCGCCCCUGGGCCGUCGGCGUCUUAGAAUAGAACCCUUGGUUUGUAGUGGGACCCAUCUCUGUCCAGAAGAAGACUGUAUUUCCUCACUUCCCUGUAGCUUGAUGUGGUCAUGUGCCCAACGUCUGUCGAAUAGGAAAUACGCAGAAGCCGUGCAAGGAACUUCCAGGAAAUCCUUAAAGAGAAGGGGCUAUUCUCCCUCUCUCCUUCCUCUGGCACAACAUGAAUGUGAUGGCCGGAGCUUGAAUAGCCAUCUUGAACUAUGAAGUGGAAGCCACGUGGUAAGGAUGACAGAGCAGAAAGUAGCAGCCUGGUUUCCUGGCACCGUGGACAGGCAUAUCAGCCCAGGAGAGACUACCGCCAGAUUUUUACAUGUGAGAGAAAGUAAUCUGCUAUUUUGGUAAGCCACUGUAAUUUUGGAUUCCUUGUUGCUCAUAGCUAAGUCUAACUCAGCUCUCGAAUAUGGAAAGGAAUUAUCUUCUUUUGAGAAUAUAUCAUAAUGUGCUCUAAGUUGUUUAAUUUAGGCUGGUGGUGGCAUCUCCAUUUGAUGAAGGAAUUCAAAUCUGAGUGAUGUCCCCAUAGUCAAAAAAAUUAAUAGCAAUACAGCUCACUUUGAUUUCUCUCUCUGAGGGUGUCAGUACCUUCACCGUGAUGUUCACUUCCUUUGAAAGAAUAUCAUGUUCUGACAAGUGGAAAUCGGUUAUCUAAAGCAAAUACCUUGCUACUUUAAAUCUGCUAAAAAACAAACUGUAUUCAUUUUCAGUUCCUGUGUCUAAAGCAAUUGUGGAAAAUUUAUGUUCCAAGGAAUUCAAAAGAUUAAUGUUGAAUUAAUAGUAAGUGAAUUUUGUACUGAGGAUGGUUGCUUCUAGAGUGCUGCUAAUUUAUUUCUUGACCUAGAUGGUGGUUGCUUACAUAUUUGCUUUGUAUUUAUCCAUUAAACUGUACAUAUGUUUAUGUACUUUUCUGUGUUAUAUAUUUCAUAAUAAUAAAGGAUUAAAGACGUGAA